rnacentral:rRNA from 1 species
GACGAACGCUGGCGGCGUGCCUAAUACAUGCAAGUAGGACGCAGUUGCGAACGGGUGAGUAACGCCUAGGUAACUGCCUGUGAGAGGGGUUUAACUAUUUGAAACGUUAGCCAAUACCGCAUUCUAGUAGAUGGACCUUCGUUUUAUUGGGUAGUAGGUAGGGUAAUGGCCUAACUAGGCGACGGUACAUAGACCAGCUGAGGGGGUGAUUGGCCACACGUGGGCGGAGACACGGCCCAGACUCCUUCGGGGGGCAGCAGUAGGGAAUCUUCGGCAAUGGGGGGAAACCUGACCGAGCAACGCCGCGGGAGGGAAGAAGGUUUUCGGAUCGUAAAGCUCUGUUGUUAAGGAAGCGGUACUUAACCAGAAAGGGACGGGUAAAUACGUGCCAGCAGCCGCGGUAAUAC